CAAAAUAAAGCUCUUAGAGCUAUCCAUUUACACUGGAGGGGGGCUAAUUAAUAGUUAUUUUGA
rnacentral:tRNA from 1 species